rnacentral:rRNA from 1 species
GGGUUGUGAGGUUAAGCGACUAAGCGUACACGGUGGAUGCCCUGGCAGUCAGAGGCGAUGAAGGACGUGCUAAUCUGCGAUAAGCGUCGGUAAGGUGAUAUGAACCGUUAUAACCGGCGAUUUCCGAAUGGGGAAACCCAGUGUGAUUCGUCACACUAUCAUUAACUGAAUCCAUAGGUUAAUGAGGCGAACCGGGGGAACUGAAACAUCUAAGUACCCCGAGGAAAAGAAAUCAACCGAGAUUCCCCCAGUAGCGGCGAGCGAACGGGGAGCAGCCCAGAGCCUGAAUCAGUGUGUGUGUUAGUGGAAGCGUCUGGAAAGGCGCGCGAUACAGGGUGACAGCCCCGUACACAAAAAUGCACAUGCUGUGAGCUCGAUGAGUAGGGCGGGACACGUGGUAUCCUGUCUGAAUAUGGGGGGACCAUCCUCCAAGGCUAAAUACUCCUGACUGACCGAUAGUGAACCAGUACCGUGAGGGAAAGGCGAAAAGAACCCCGGCGAGGGGAGUGAAAAAGAACCUGAAACCGUGUACGUACAAGCAGUGGGAGCACGCUUAGGCGUGUGACUGCGUACCUUUUGUAUAAUGGGUCAGCGACUUAUAUUCUGUAGCAAGGUUAACCGAAUAGGGGAGCCGAAGGGAAACCGAGUCUUAACUGGGCGUUAAGUUGCAGGGUAUAGACCCGAAACCCGGUGAUCUAGCCAUGGGCAGGUUGAAGGUUGGGUAACACUAACUGGAGGACCGAACCGACUAAUGUUGAAAAAUUAGCGGAUGACUUGUGGCUGGGGGUGAAAGGCCAAUCAAACCGGGAGAUAGCUGGUUCUCCCCGAAAGCUAUUUAGGUAGCGCCUCGUGAAUUCAUCUCCGGGGGUAGAGCACUGUUUCGGCAAGGGGGUCAUCCCGACUUACCAACCCGAUGCAAACUGCGAAUACCGGAGAAUGUUAUCACGGGAGACACACGGCGGGUGCUAACGUCCGUCGUGAAGAGGGAAACAACCCAGACCGCCAGCUAAGGUCCCAAAGUCAUGGUUAAGUGGGAAACGAUGUGGGAAGGCCCAGACAGCCAGGAUGUUGGCUUAGAAGCAGCCAUCAUUUAAAGAAAGCGUAAUAGCUCACUGGUCGAGUCGGCCUGCGCGGAAGAUGUAACGGGGCUAAACCAUGCACCGAAGCUGCGGCAGCGACACUGUGUGUUGUUGGGUAGGGGAGCGUUCUGUAAGCCUGCGAAGGUGUGCUGUGAGGCAUGCUGGAGGUAUCAGAAGUGCGAAUGCUGACAUAAGUAACGAUAAAGCGGGUGAAAAGCCCGCUCGCCGGAAGACCAAGGGUUCCUGUCCAACGUUAAUCGGGGCAGGGUGAGUCGACCCCUAAGGCGAGGCCGAAAGGCGUAGUCGAUGGGAAACAGGUUAAUAUUCCUGUACUUGGUGUUACUGCGAAGGGGGGACGGAGAAGGCUAUGUUGGCCGGGCGACGGUUGUCCCGGUUUAAGCGUGUAGGCUGGUUUUCCAGGCAAAUCCGGAAAAUCAAGGCUGAGGCGUGAUGACGAGGCACUACGGUGCUGAAGCAACAAAUGCCCUGCUUCCAGGAAAAGCCUCUAAGCAUCAGGUAACAUCAAAUCGUACCCCAAACCGACACAGGUGGUCAGGUAGAGAAUACCAAGGCGCUUGAGAGAACUCGGGUGAAGGAACUAGGCAAAAUGGUGCCGUAACUUCGGGAGAAGGCACGCUGAUACGUAGGUGAAGUCCCUCGCGGAUGGAGCUGAAAUCAGUCGAAGAUACCAGCUGGCUGCAACUGUUUAUUAAAAACACAGCACUGUGCAAACACGAAAGUGGACGUAUACGGUGUGACGCCUGCCCGGUGCCGGAAGGUUAAUUGAUGGGGUCAGCGCAAGCGAAGCUCUUGAUCGAAGCCCCGGUAAACGGCGGCCGUAACUAUAACGGUCCUAAGGUAGCGAAAUUCCUUGUCGGGUAAGUUCCGACCUGCACGAAUGGCGUAAUGAUGGCCAGGCUGUCUCCACCCGAGACUCAGUGAAAUUGAACUCGCUGUGAAGAUGCAGUGUACCCGCGGCAAGACGGAAAGACCCCGUGAACCUUUACUAUAGCUUGACACUGAACAUUGAGCCUUGAUGUGUAGGAUAGGUGGGAGGCUUUGAAGUGUGGACGCCAGUCUGCAUGGAGCCGACCUUGAAAUACCACCCUUUAAUGUUUGAUGUUCUAACGUUGACCCGUAAUCCGGGUUGCGGACAGUGUCUGGUGGGUAGUUUGACUGGGGCGGUCUCCUCCUAAAGAGUAACGGAGGAGCACGAAGGUUGGCUAAUCCUGGUCGGACAUCAGGAGGUUAGUGCAAUGGCAUAAGCCAGCUUGACUGCGAGCGUGACGGCGCGAGCAGGUGCGAAAGCAGGUCAUAGUGAUCCGGUGGUUCUGAAUGGAAGGGCCAUCGCUCAACGGAUAAAAGGUACUCCGGGGAUAACAGGCUGAUACCGCCCAAGAGUUCAUAUCGACGGCGGUGUUUGGCACCUCGAUGUCGGCUCAUCACAUCCUGGGGCUGAAGUAGGUCCCAAGGGUAUGGCUGUUCGCCAUUUAAAGUGGUACGCGAGCUGGGUUUAGAACGUCGUGAGACAGUUCGGUCCCUA